UACGAGGGGGGCAAGCGUUGUUCGGAAUUACUGGGCGUAAAGGGCGCGUAGGCGGCCUUCUAAGUCGAACGUGAAAUCCCCGGGCUCAACCCGGGAACUGCGUCCGAUACUGGAAGGCUUGAAUCCGGGAGAGGGAUGUGGAAUUCCAGGUGUAGCGGUGAAAUGCGUAGAUAUCUGGAGGAACACCGGUGGCGAAGGCGACAUCCUGGACCGGUAUUGACGCUGAGGCGCGAAAGCCAGGGGAGCAAACGGG
rnacentral:rRNA from 1 species